ACACUCCUAUGGGAGGCAGCAGUGGGGAAUAUUGCACAAUGGGCGCAAGCCUGAUGCAGCCAUGCCGCGUGUAUGAAGAAGGCCUUCGGGUUGUAAAGUACUUUCAGCGGGGAGGAAGGCGAUAAGGUUAAUAACCUUGUUGAUUGACGUUACCCGCAGAAGAAGCACCGGCUAACUCCGUGCCAGCAGCCGCGGUAAUACGGAGGGUGCAAGCGUUAAUCGGAAUUACUGGGCGUAAAGCGCACGCAGGCGGUCUGUCAAGUCGGAUGUGAAAUCCCCGGGCUCAACCUGGGAACUGCAUUCGAAACUGGCAGGCUAGAGUCUUGUAGAGGGGGGUAGAAUUCCAGGUGUAGCGGUGAAAUGCGUAGAGAUCUGGAGGAAUACCGGUGGCGAAGGCGGCCCCCUGGACAAAGACUGACGCUCAGGUGCGAAAGCGUGGGGAGCAAACAGGAUUAGAAACCCGAGUAGUCCCAUG
rnacentral:rRNA from 1 species